ACAAGCAGUGGGAGCACCCUUUGGGUGUGACUGCGUACCUUUUGUAUAAUGGGUCAGCGACUUAUAUUCUGUAGCAAGGUUAACCGAAUAGGGGAGCCGGAGGGAAACCGAGUCUUAAUUGGGCGUUAAGUUGCAGGGUAUAGACCCGAAACCCGGUGAUCUAGCCAUGGGCAGGUUGAAGGUUGGGUAACACUAACUGGAGGACCGAACCGACUAAUGUUGAAAAAUUAGCGGAUGACCUGUGGCUGGGGGUGAAAGGCCAAUCAAACCGGGAGAUAGCUGGUUCUCCCCGAAAGCUAUUUAGGUAGCGCCUCGUGAAUUCAUCUCCGGGGGUAGAGCACUGUUUCGGCUAGGGGGCCAUCCCGGCUUACCAACCCGAUGCAAACUGCGAAUACCGGAGAAUGUUAUCACGGGAGACACACGGCGGGUGCUAACGUCCGUCGUGAAGAGGGAAACAACCCAGACCGCCAGCUAAGGUCCCAAAGUCAUGGUUAAGUGGGAAACGAUGUGGGAAGGCCCAGACAGCCAGGAUGUUGGCUUAGAAGCAGCCAUCAUUUAAAGAAAGCGUAAUAGCUCACUGGUCGAGUCGGCCUGCGCGGAAGAUGUAACGGGGCUAAACCAUGCACCGAAGCUGCGGCAGCGACACUGUGUGUUGUUGGGUA
rnacentral:rRNA from 1 species